AAGAAUAAAUAUCUUGAUCACUGACACAUGCUGUACAAAUAAAAUUAGGAAGUCAACUCUUUCCAUCAUGAGUAACAGAACUCAAUCGAAUGUGACACACAGAAAUGUCUCAAAAAUCUCUAGGAAAAAUGUUAACAAAAGAAAACAAAAAAAAGAAAAAUGUUCAUUCAACACUAACAGAAUGGAAACGCAGUUCAAGCGUCACGGCUGAGCGAGAGCACAGCUGUCUCAUUUCCAGUCUGGCGCACUGGACCGUGAAUACUGAAGCACGCUCCUGAGAAAGUCCGGCCACGACAGCCUGCGCACUAAGAAACUGCAACUCCCACAAUGCUUUGCGGCCUUCCAGUUCGGCCGUGUACCCGGAGGAAAGCAAGGGUCGGACACCUUGGGUUCCGGGCUGCUGGGCGGGAGGCGCACGCGCAGAACUGUUCGCCACCCGACCGCCCGCCCCUUCCUCUGGCGUCCAAGGUGAUAUCGCGCGAGGUUCGCAGCCAAUAAGGAGGCGGAUGUGACGGCCCG
rnacentral:lncRNA from 1 species